rnacentral:rRNA from 1 species
UAGGGAAUAUUGCCCAAUGGACGAAAGUCUGAGGCAGCAACGCCGCGUGUGUGAUGAAGGCCUUCGGGUCGUAAAGCACUUUUCUGGGAGAUGAGAAAGGACAGUAUCCCAGGAAUAAGUCUCGGCUAACUACGUGCCAGCAGCCGCGGUAAAACGUAGGAGGCAAGCGUAUCCGGAUUCACUGGGCGUAAAGCGCGUGCAGGUGGCGCGGUAAGUUGGAUGUGAAAUCUCCCGGCUCAACUGGGAGAGGUCAUUCAAUACUACCGUGCUUGAGAGCAGAAGAGGAAGAUGGAAUUCCCGGUGUAGUGGUGAAAUGCGUAGAUAUCGGGAGGAACACCAGUGGCGAAGGCGAUCUUCUGGUCUGUUUCUGACACUCAGACGCGACAGCUAGGGUAGUAAACGGGAUUAGAGACCCCGGUAAUCCUAGCCGUAAACGAUGUGAACUUGGCGUUGGUGGGUUAAACUCCAUCAGUGCCGUAGCAAACGCGAUAAGUUCACCGCCUGGGGACUACGGCCGCAAGGUUAA